GAUGAACGCUGGCGGCGUGCCUAAUACAUGCAAGUCGAGCGAACGGACGAGAAGCUUGCUUCUCUGAUGUUAGCGGCGGACGGGUGAGUAACACGUGGAUAACCUACCUAUAAGACUGGGAUAACUUCGGGAAACCGUAGCUAAUACCGGAUAAUAUUUUGAACCGCAUGGUUCAAAAGUGAAAGACGGUCUUGCUGUCACUUAUAGAUGGAUCCGCGCUGCAUUAGCUAGUUGGUAAGGUAACGGCUUACCAAGGCAACGAUGCAUAGCCGACCUGAGAGGGUGAUCGGCCACACUGGAACUGAGACACGGUCCAGACUCCUACGGGAGGCAGCAGUAGGGAAUCUUCCGCAAUGGGCGAAAGCCUGACGGAGCAACGCCGCGUGAGUGAUGAAGGUCUUCGGAUCGUAAAACUCUGUUAUUAGGGAAGAACAUAUGUGUAAGUAACUGUGCACAUCUUGACGGUACCUAAUCAGAAAGCCACGGCUAACUACGUGCCAGCAGCCGCGGUAAUACGUAGGUGGCAAGCGUUAUCCGGAAUUAUUGGGCGUAAAGCGCGCGUAGGCGGUUUUUUAAGUCUGAUGUGAAAGCCCACGGCUCAACCGUGGAGGGUCAUUGGAAACUGGAAAACUUGAGUGCAGAAGAGGAAAGUGGAAUUCCAUGUGUAGCGGUGAAAUGCGCAGAGAUAUGGAGGAACACCAGUGGCGAAGGCGACUUUCUGGUCUGUAACUGACGCUGAUGUGCGAAAGCGUGGGGAUCAAACAGGAUUAGAUACCCUGGUAGUCCACGCCGUAAACGAUGAGUGCUAAGUGUUAGGGGGUUUCCGCCCCUUAGUGCUGCAGCUAACGCAUUAAGCACUCCGCCUGGGGAGUACGACCGCAAGGUUGAAACUCAAAGGAAUUGACGGGGACCCGCACAAGCGGUGGAGCAUGUGGUUUAAUUCGAAGCAACGCGAAGAACCUUACCAAAUCUUGACAUCCUUUGACAACUCUAGAGAUAGAGCCUUCCCCUUCGGGGGACAAAGUGACAGGUGGUGCAUGGUUAUCGUCAGCUCGUGUCGUGAGAUGUUGGGUUAAGUCCCGCAACGAGCGCAACCCUUAAGCUUAGUUGCCAUCAUUAAGUUGGGCACUCUAAGUUGACUGCCGGUGACAAACCGGAGGAAGGUGGGGAUGACGUCAAAUCAUCAUGCCCCUUAUGAUUUGGGCUACACACGUGCUACAAUGGACAAUACAAAGGGCAGCGAAACCGCGAGGUCAAGCAAAUCCCAUAAAGUUGUUCUCAGUUCGGAUUGUAGUCUGCAACUCGACUACAUGAAGCUGGAAUCGCUAGUAAUCGUAGAUCAGCAUGCUACGGUGAAUACGUUCCCGGGUCU
rnacentral:rRNA from 1 species